rnacentral:rRNA from 1 species
UACGAAGGGGGCUAGCGUUACUCGGAUUGACUGGGCGUAAAGGGCGCGUAGGCGGAUGGUACAGUCAGACGUGAAAUUCCUGGGCUCAACCUGGGGGCUGCGCUUGAGACUGUGGUGCUAGAGGAUGGAAGAGGCUCGUGGAAUUCCCAGUGUAGAGGUGAAAUUCGUAGAUAUCGGGAGGAACACCAGUGGCGAAGGCGGCGAUCUGGGAAGAUACUGACGCUGAGGUGCGAAAGCGUGGGGAGCAAACAGG